ensembl:snoRNA
GGCACUUGUGUGUUUUUGUCCUAACUUGUGGACUAAAACUUAAAUGGACAAAUGCAAAAAAUAAAUCCUCUUUUGCAACCCAGAACUCAUUGUUUAGUAUGAGGUUUUUGUUUUGUUUUGUUUGGGUAUC